AGCCGAUAGAGCCUAAAUAUUAUCGGUAUUUUCUGCCCGGUGUUUUUUAAUUAACGGCCGCAGUACCUUGACUGUGCUAAGGUAGCAUAAUCAAUUGGCUAUUAAUUGUAGUCUAGUAUGAAAGGAUAAAUGAAUACUACCUAUAACAUUUAGUUUUAGUUGAAUUUACUUAUCUGGUGAAAAUGCCAGUGAUAAGAAAAAAGACGAGAAGACCCUUAGAGUUAUUAAAUAUAUCUGUUAUUAUAUAAUAUUAAAACAGCUAUUUGUUUGUUGGGGCGACAAGAAAACAAGUUUAACUUUUCUACUUAAUUAAUUUUAUGUGCCGAAAAAUAUUAAGGAUAAUAAACUACCUUAGGGAUAACAGCAUAAUGAUAUAAUUUAGUUUGUGACCUCGAUGUUGGACUAGGAACUUGAACACUAACAGUGCUUAAAGAUUGUUCUGUUCGAACAUAUAACUCCU
rnacentral:rRNA from 1 species